ensembl:snRNA U6 U6 spliceosomal RNA
GUGCUCACUUUGGCAGCACAUGUACUAAAAUUGGAAUGAUACAGAGAAGGUUAACGUAGCCCCUGCGUAAGGAUGACAUGCAAAUUCGUGAAGCAUUCCAUAUUUUU